rnacentral:lncRNA from 1 species
GGUACAUAGCCACAUUUAAAUCAAAUGUGUAAAGGGAUAUUUAAUGAAAUAUAAACCUUUCUCCCACUGUAGAUUCCCAGUAUUUUAUCCCAAGGGACAAUCACUGAUAUGCAAAUAUAUGUUUAUUAUCUUCCACUUUCACAUCAAUUGACAUAAAAUUUAACAUAGUAUUAUUAUCUGUGUUUUAGUCUUUUAGGAGUAUUGGAAGCUAUGGAGAUAGGCCUUUAGGCAGUCCUGAAUUUCUGUCAUACUUGGGAUGGUCAGAUCCCAGAAGUGAUUGGAACUAGCAUUUGGUUCAUAUAAGACUGAUGUAUUUGCUCAUGAAUGUGACUGAACUGGUCCAUGUUAGAUAGCAGUUUGCUGAAAGAUAUAGAGGUGAUUAUUCUAAGAAUAAGAACAACUAAAACUCUGACACAUUUGAGUUUUAAUUUGUGGCAGUUAAUUUUGGGCCACAAGGAAUAAAGAACAUUCCCUCUUCUUCCUGAGCAGGAUCUUAGUUGACCUUCCUAUGACCCAAAAGUAUCAUCACCUUUCUCAUCCAGCUCAGUCACCAACAUCCACAGAAGGGAAACUCGCAGGGCAGAGAAGCUUGGAUUUCUGACAUGGAGAAUGCAGCCGAACCUCUAGCUAUGUGCAUCUAGCUUAAUAUAAAUAACAUCUCACUCCUGUUACUUAAAUAAAAAGACCCAGUGUACUCUGUCCAUUGGAGUCCAUCAGUCACCCUCACAUUGUAAUAAUAAUUUAGAUGCUAUACUUCUAAGCCAUUUUGUUCCCUAACCCAGAUUACAAAAUAGAAACUUCCAGUUCAGGUUGGUGUCCUCAGUACGCAUAUCUAACUCCCCUAUACUUCAAAAUACCAUUAAAGAAAGAAAUAUUCAAAACUCCUAAAUGUAUUUUAUAGCCUAAAAAUCAGAAACUAGAACCAUAUUCUUUUUGAAAUCAGAAUUAACAUUGAUUUUAUGUUAGUGGCUCUGAUGGUUAAUUUACAUGUCAAAUUGGCUGGCCCAUAGGCUGCCCAGAUAUUCAGUCAAACAUCAUUCAAGGUACUUCUGUGUUUUUGGAUGAGUAUAAUAUUUAAAUUGGUGAAUAAAGUUGAGUAAGGUAAUUUGUUCUCUGUCAUUGUGUGGACCUUAUCUAUCAGUUGAGGGCAUAAAUAGAAAGAAAAGACCAGCCUCCUGCAAGCAAGGGAGAAUUCUUUAAAAAGAGGCCUUGGACUUGAACUUUCCUUGGUUUCUACCCAGUAGCUUUUGGACUUGCCAUCCAUCUAUAAUUGUAGAAGCCAGUUGCUUAUAAUAAAUGUAUUUAUACACACACACACACACACACACACACACACACACACAUCCUGUUGUUUCUGUUCUUCUAGAAAACCUUGGUUAAUACAAUGAACAGAUCAAAUCAGAGUUAGCAGUGUUUAGCCUAAGUGUAUGUUACGUUUAAAGUGAGAGUUGUUUUCUCCACUGAAAUUAAGAAUAAGUUUUACGUAUUGAGUUGGCAGAUAGAGAAUAAAAAUGAGCCAUGAUACUAAAGUUCAGAUUUUAUAAGCAAAAUAACAGAUCAAUAAUAGGCUUAAAGUCAACUGACAAAGUCAACUGUGUGUGUUAUCUCUUAUUUAUCUGUCUACCUAUCUAUUAUCUAUUUAUCAUCUAUAUAAACAGCUGACAUUUGAGAGGGCUUACUGUAUCAGGUGCUGUAUUGAAUACAGUACAUAGAUCAUUCCAUUUAAUUAUCACAACUACCUUACAAAGUAGGUACUAUUUUGUGUUUAUUUAACAUAUGAAGGUAAAUUUUCAUAGAGUGAACUAAAAAUUUAAUAUAGUGAAUAGUUUUUCCAAGCUCAGAUGGAUAGUAUGGGCUGAGGUUUCUGACACCAGUGCCUUGAAUUAUUUGGUCAUAGUUACCUAGCCAGUAAAUGAAAAAGCUGAAAUUAGAACCCAGGCAGUCAUACUGUAAUGCUAAAUCGUCAUGUUCCAUGAAGAAUUCUUCAAAAAUUACAUGGAGCAGCAUAUCUUUAAUAGUAAACCCCCUUAGGACAUUAUCAUAAGAGAAAAUUAUAAGCCGAAAUCUCUCAGGCAUACGUUUGCAAAAGGUCCUAAACAAAAUAUUAGCAAAGUGAAUCUAUCUAUCUAUCCAUCUAGUAAAUAAUAACAUAGUGUGUUAUUAGAAUAUUGCACAGUUGCUUUUUAAUAUUAAAAAACCAAUGCAAUUCACCGCACUAAAACUAAAUAAAGGAGAAAAAUAAUGUGAUCAUAUAAAUAUGUUUAGAAAAAAUAUUCAAUAAAGUGCAGUAUUCAUUCAUGACCAAAACUCCUUGGCAAAUUAGAAAUGGAAUGGAAUUUCAUUAAUCCAAUAAAAUAUAUCAAGAAAAGAAUUUACAGGACCAUAUUACAUAGUAGCAAGUAUUUUUAUCUUUUCUCUGGAGGUGGAAAACAUUUAUCACCAUUUAAAAUUUUUUCAGCAUUAUACUAGAGGGCCUACCAAAUGCAAAUAUGGCAAGAAAAUAAAGGGAUGGAGAUUGGAAAGGAACUUUUAAACUGCAUUAUUCAAAGAAGGCAUGAUUAUGUACUUAGAAAAUCCACAGAAUCUACAAAAAUACAUUAUAAUUAAUGUCAAUUUAGUAAAUCACUGGAUACAUAAUCAAUAUACAAAAUUAAUUGCCUUCCUAUGAAUUACCAGCAAAUAUUAAGGAAGAAAUGAAUAAAUACCAUUUACAACUGCACAAAAAAACCCCCAGAUACUCAUAGGUAAUUCCUAUGAAAUAUAUCCAAGUUAUCUGCAUUGUAAACAGCAAAGCAGUGCGGAGAAAAAAAAAAUUAAUCCAACAAAUAAAGAACAUUUUCUUGCAUUGGAGAACUCAAUAUUAAGAUGUAAAUUUGGUGAAUUCCACUGUGACACAAUGGAUUAAUGAUCUGGCACUGUCACUGCCACGACUCAGGUCACUGCUGUGGUGCAGGUUUGAUCCCUGCCUGGGGAGCUUCCACAUGCCAUGGGUAUGGCCAAAAAAAAGGAUGUAAGUUUUUCUGAAAUUGAUCUGUAUAUUCAGUGUUAUCUCAACCAAAUUACAGAAGGAUAUUUCUUUUUUUUUUUUUCUUUUUAAUGCGGGAAAGGUGAUUGGUCUGCUAAUUCUAAAAUGUAUGAAGGAGUUCCCAUUGUGGCUCAGUGGGUUGAAAUUCCAACUAGUAGACUUGGAGAACAGACUUGUGGUUGCCAAGUGGGCGGGGGAGAGAGUGGGUUGGACUGGGAAUUUGGGGUUAUAAGAUGCAAACUAUUGCCUUUGGAAUGGAUAAGCAAUGAGAUCCUGCUGUAUAGCACUGGGAACUAUAUCUAGUCACUUAUGAUGGAGCAUGAUAAUGUGAGAAAAAGAAUGUGUAUACCUGUGUGUGACUGGGUCACUUUGCUGUACAGUACAAAAUUGACAGAACACUGUAAACCAGCUAUAAUGGCAAAAAUAAAAAUCAUUUAAAAUAAAAAUAGGAUCCUUAACCCACUGAGCAAGGCCAGGGAUCGAACCUGCAACCUCAUGGUUCCUAGUCAGAUUCCUUAACCACUAAACCACGAAGGGAACUCCAGGUAUUUUCUAAUAUUGAUGGAUCAAUAAAAUGGAGAUAUGUAAAAAUAUUAUUUAGAGUAAUUACUAGACAAGAUUAAAAGCAACUGAUUAAGUGAGAAUUUUAUUCAUUUAUUGCUUAUUUUUAAACAGUAUGUAUGUAUUGUUUCAUAACGAACACUUUAAAGUUGUAAAACAUAUUUCAUAUUCGAGUAUACUGAAUAUGAAUUAAAAGCUGCAGGACUCCCAUUUCACUAAUGUUGAUGUAGAUACAACAGGACAGCCAUUAAAAAUAUAGCAGAAGCCAAAAUCUGUCCAAGUCAAGGCUUCAAAUAGAUUGCAGCUGAAAGUCUUCUCACCUACCAGCCUCAAUAAAGACCAUUUCCUGGAUCCUUACACAAACAAGCAUAUGCAUUAGUCAGUGCGUGAGAUUCAGUGGGGAGGACUUGGCAGAAAGACAAAAAAGAGUCUCCAAACUUCUUUGGAAAGUGUUUUGCCACUUAUCCUAAAGCUAUAACUCUGCCAACUGGAGCCAGUGGGCUAUUAUAAAUUUAUAUAUGCAUUUAAUCUGCCUGGAGAAUUUUUUUACUUAUAUGGUACAUCAACAUUUCAAAACAACCUUUUAAGAUACAGAAUCUUCCAAGAGGAAGCCUCUUUAUAUGUGAAAGGCAGCUUUCCUUCUGAGGGACAGCAAUGACUAGUUUGUUUGAGUACAAAACUGACAGUUGGGAAAGUCUGAAAUAUAAUUCUGGCUUUUCUACUCCCUUAGGUUGGCCAUACAGAAUAAACACGAACCUGUUAAACAAGCAGAAUUUUGGAGGAAGUACAUAUACAUAUUAAUGAAGAGCUAGAAACUCUGCUGUAAUAAGGGUUAGAGAAAUUUCUUGACCACUAUCUGAAUGACCUUGUCUGAUUGGAUUUGGAUGGAAACCAUUGGCAAAUUUAGCACAGACUUCACGAAGCUUUACAAAAUGAACUGAGAAUGAAAUAAAAGGAAUCUGUUGAAAAAGUAUGCAAGCCUGUGAAAUUGUUUUGCCUUUAUAAUCUGAAGAGAAAGAAGUUUAAAAUAUUGCAAAUGAAGUUCCCGCUGUGGUGUUGUGGGUUAAGAAACCAACUGCAGCAGCUUGGUUCAGUCCCUGGCCCGGCACAGUGGGUUAAAGGAUCUGGUGUUGUCCCAGCUAUGACACAGGUCACAGCUUUGGCUUGGAUUCGAUCCCUGGUCUUAGAACUCCCAUGUGCUGCACAUGCCACCAUAAAAAAUAAUGCAGAUGAGUGACUUGUUAACAUUAAUGAAAAUUCAAGAGAAAAUUAAUGAGAUAAUGAAAUAAUGCUAGAGCCUGAAAGAAUAGUUCUUAUAAAAAAUAAUUUUGUUGCAUUCUAGAGGAGCAAUCUUAUCCUUUGAUAAGCCUCCUGCAUGGAAACUUCCUCAUCAUGCUAUAUCAGGCUUUAGCCUCAGGCAUCUCCAGGAGCUUUGGAUCACUAACUGCUGGUUGAGAUCCACUCUGCAAAUGGUAUGACUAGUUAUAUAUGGCGACUGUUUGCAGUCUUUUUAGUUUGACUUGCUGUAAGGAAACAAAAUUCACCAUAGAAUCUGAGAAAAGUUACCUCAAACUAUCUGGUGGAAAAUGUGUAUAAAACAAAAGGGCUGAAGAGCUCAACAGCAAGCAACUGGGGGAUUGCAGGAUUAAAUAAAGGAUAUAUUAAGUGGAGAGAGGUAUCAGCAGAACAAUUCCAAUAUUAAGGAGACCUCUUUCAUAUGGGCCAUCUAAAUCCUGGCUUGGGAAUUGGUGGAGUUAUCAAAUGGAUUAGUCAUUUAACUAGAUUAUUGGUUAGGGAUUCAAACUUCUUCAAAAUGAAGCCUAGCCUUUUAAAUGCUGAUUAGCAAAUUCAGUCCUGAACCAGAUUUUUGAGGUGGGCUAAAAUACUGGAAUAGCACAUGAAGAAUCAGUGAUAUGAUCCUGUAUGAUUUAGUAGUUCUAAGUCUAUAACUUAUAAUAGUAUACCUGUGACUGUUUCACAAAUUCUCAAGUUAAAUAUCAUAAUUUUUUUGAGGAAAUGUAACAACUCAGAGAAUCCUUAUAACUUGUAGGAAAGGUAAUUCUGAUGAUUAAUCACGUUGUGGACUUGCUCACAUAAGCAUGAUUCCAAGCUCUUUAGUGUUGCCCCUUUUACUAUGUCCACUGCAAGAAGACUUCUUUGAAAA